UACGUAGGGUGCGAGCGUUAAUCGGAAUUACUGGGCGUAAAGUGUGCGCAGGCGGCCGCGCAAGUCGAGUGUGAAAGCCCCCGGGCUCAACCUGGGAAUUGCAUUCGAGACUGCAUUGCUGGAGUACGGAAGAGGAGGGCGGAAUUCCCGGUGUAGCGGUGAAAUGCGUAGAUAUCGGGAGGAACAUCAGUGGCGAAGGCGGCCCUCUGGUCCAGUACUGACACUCAAGUGCGAAAGCGUGGGGAGCAAACAGG
rnacentral:rRNA from 1 species